CCUACGGGAGGCAGCAGUGGGGAAUAUUGCACAAUGGGCGAAAGCCUGAUGCAGCGACGCCGCGUGAGGGAUGACGGCCUUCGGGUUGUAAACCUCUUUCAGCAGGGAAGAAGCGAAAGUGACGGUACCUGCAGAAGAAGCGCCGGCUAACUACGUGCCAGCAGCCGCGGUAAUACGUAGGGCGCGAGCGUUGUCCGGAAUUAUUGGGCGUAAAGAGCUCGUAGGCGGCUUGUCACGUCGGUUGUGAAAGCCCGGGGCUUAACCCCGGGUCUGCAGUCGAUACGGGCAGGCUAGAGUGUGGUAGGGGAGAUCGGAAUUCCUGGUGUAGCGGUGAAAUGCGCAGAUAUCAGGAGGAACACCGGUGGCGAAGGCGGAUCUCUGGGCCAUUACUGACGCUGAGGAGCGAAAGCGUGGGGAGCGAACAGGAUUAGAUACCCUGGUAGUCCACGCCGUAAACGGUGGGAACUAGGUGUUGGCGACAUUCCACGUCGUCGGUGCCGCAGCUAACGCAUUAAGUUCCCCGCCUGGGGAGUACGGCCGCAAGGCUAAAACUCAAAGGAAUUGACGG
rnacentral:rRNA from 1 species